GGGGAAUAUUGGACAAUGGGGGCAACCCUGAUCCAGCAAUGCCGCGUGAGUGAAGAAGGCCUUCGGGUUGUAAAGCUCUUUUGUUCGGGAAGAAACGCGCUGGGUGAAUACCCUGGCGUAAUGACGGUACCGAAAGAAUAAGCACCGGCUAACUCCGUGCCAGCAGCCGCGGUAAUACGGGGGGAGCAAGCGUUGUUCGGAUUUACUGGGCGUAAAGGGCGGGUAGGCGGCCACUGCAAGUCGGUUGUGAAAUCUCCGGGCUUAACCCGGAAAGGUCAAUCGAUACUGCAGGGCUAGAGUGCAGAAGGGGCAACUGGAAUUCUCGGUGUAGCGGUGAAAUGCGUAGAUAUCGAGAGGAACACCUGCGGCGAAGGCGGGUUGCUGGGCUGACACUGACGCUGAACUGCGAAAGCUAGGGGAGCGAA
rnacentral:rRNA from 1 species